rnacentral:rRNA from 4 species
UAGGGAAUCUUCCGCAAUGGACGAAAGUCUGACGGAGCAACGCCGCGUGAGUGAUGAAGGCUUUCGGGUCGUAAAACUCUGUUGUUAGGGAAGAACAAGUACAAGAGUAACUGCUUGUACCUUGACGGUACCUAACCAGAAAGCCACGGCUAACUACGUGCCAGCAGCCGCGGUAAUACGUAGGUGGCAAGCGUUAUCCGGAAUUAUUGGGCGUAAAGCGCGCGCAGGCGGUUUCUUAAGUCUGAUGUGAAAGCCCACGGCUCAACCGUGGAGGGUCAUUGGAAACUGGGGAACUUGAGUGCAGAAGAGAAAAGCGGAAUUCCACGUGUAGCGGUGAAAUGCGUAGAGAUGUGGAGGAACACCAGUGGCGAAGGCGGCUUUUUGGUCUGUAACUGACGCUGAGGCGCGAAAGCGUGGGGAGCAAACAGG